UUGCUCUUUUCAAUAGCAUAUAAACUAAAAUUGGAACAAUACAGAGAAAAUUAGCAUGGCCUCUGCACAAGGGUGACAUGCAAAUUCAUGAAGCAUUCAAUAUUUUU
ensembl:snRNA U6 U6 spliceosomal RNA